UAGUAACGGCGAGCGAAGGAGGAAGAGCCCAGCACCGAAUCCUUCACCAUCUCGGUGACAGGAAAUGUGGUGUUUAGGCCGUACCUUGUCCCGACACGUCUCUCCUCAAGUCCACUUGAUUGUGGCCCCAGGCCCAGAGAGGGUGUAAGGCCCGUGGAGGCGAGACGUUCGGUACCUGGUGCGUCCUUAGAGUCGGGUUGUUUGGGAAUGCAGCCCUAAGCGGGUGGUAAACUCCAUCCAAGGCUAAAUACCAGCACGAGUCCGAUAGCGAAGAAGUACCGCGAGGGAAGGUUGAAAAGAACUUUGAAGAGAGAGUUCAAGAGUACGUGAAACCGCUGAGAGGCAAACUGGUGGAACUGAAAUGGUCCCGAGGAAUUCAGCCGUUGGUCGUUGCACAGUCUUUGGUGAUUGAUCUAACGACGGCGCCAUUGAAUGACGUUUCGAUCAUCGGUGCACUUUCCUCGCCUGGGCCCGACCACGACCGGUGAGCUGAUCUGUCUGUCGUGCUUGGAAGAUAGCGCCGUCUUCGGAAGGCGUGUUAUAGACAGGCAUACGGAGCAGUCGGCGCACUGGAUGAUAGUGCCUGCCCAUCUGGGCUCAUAUGGUGGUUGUUUUGUUGGCGAGUUCUGAUGUCACUACUUCGGUAGAGUCGUUAGACUCUGUUGGCAUUAUGGCUGUCCUCUAUGAUUGGCACUGUUAAGUCUGUGGUUGUGAAGUAGGUAGUCCACCUGACCCGUCUUGAAACACGGACCAAGGAGUCUAACAUGUGCGCGAGUCAUUGGGUUCACGAAACCUAAAGGCGCAGUGAAGGUAAAGAUCUGUUUUGGCAGAUUGAGGUGGGAUGCCGGGUUACGCGCCCGGCCGCACUACCGGCCCGUUCUAUAUGUCUUUCAUAGGAGCGGAGCAAGAGCGUACACGUUGGGACCCGAAAGAUGGUGAACUAUGCUUGCGCAGGU
rnacentral:rRNA from 1 species